rnacentral:rRNA from 1 species
AGCAGCCGCGGUAAUUCCAGCUCCAAUAGCGUAUAUUAAAGUUGUUGCAGUUAAAAGCUCGUAGUUGAAUUUCGGGAUUUGUCAGUUGGUCGGGCUUCACUGUCCGUACUGACUUGAUGGAUUCUUACCUUCUGAAUAACCAGCAUGCUAUUAAGUUAGUGCGUUGGGGAAGCAGAUCUAUUACCUUGAAAAAUUAGAGUGCUUAAAGGCGGGCUAGUGCUUGAAUAGAUUAGCAUGGAAUAAUAAAAUAGGACGGCAUGGUUCUAUUUUGUUGGUUUCUAGGAUCACCGUAAUGAUUAAUAGGGAUAGUUGGGGGCAUUAGUAUUCAAUUGUCAGAGGUGAAAUUUCUUGGAUUUAUUGAAGACUAACUUCUGCGAAAGCAUUUGCCAAGGAUGUUUUCAUUAAUCAAGAACGAAGUUAGGGGAUCGAAGACGAUCAGAUACCGUCGUAGUCUUAACCAUAAAACUAUGCCGACUAGGAAUCGGACGAUGUUAAUUUAUAAUGACUCGUUCGGCACCUU